UACAGAGGUCUCGAGCGUUGUUCGGAUUCAUUGGGCGUAAAGGGCGCGUAGGCGGCGGGGUAAGUCUGGUGUGAAAUCUAGGAGCUCAACUCCUAAACUGCACUGGAUACUGCUCUGCUGGAGGACUGGAGAGGAGACUGGAAUUUACGGUGUAGCGGUGAAAUGCGUAGAUAUCGUAAGGAAGACCAGUGGCGAAGGCGGGUCUCUGGACAGUUCCUGACGCUGAGGCACGAAGGCCAGGGGAGCAAACGGG
rnacentral:rRNA from 1 species